UACGGGGGGGGCAAGCGUUGUUCGGAAUUACUGGGCGUAAAGGGCUCGUAGGCGGCCAACUAAGUCAGACGUGAAAUCCCUCGGCUUAACCGGGGAACUGCAUCUGAUACUGGAUGGCUUGAGUUCGGGAGAGGGAUGCGGAAUUCCAGGUGUAGCGGUGAAAUGCGUAGAUAUCGGAAGGAACAUCAGUGGCGAAAGCGACUUCCUGGACCAAUACUGACGCUCAUGUGCGAAAGCGUGGGGGAGCAAACAGG
rnacentral:rRNA from 1 species